rnacentral:rRNA from 1 species
CCUACGGGCGGCAGCAGUGAGGAAUAUUGGUCAAUGGGCUUACGCCUGAACCAGCCAAGUCGCGUGAGGGAAGACUGCCCUAUGGGUUGUAAACCUCUUUUGUCAGGGAGCAAUUGGCGCUACGUGUAGCGUUAUCGAGAGUACCUGAAGAAAAAGCAUCGGCUAACGCCGUGCCAGCCGCCGCGGUAAUACGAAGGAUGCGAGCGUUAUCCGGAUUUAUUGGGUUUAAAGGGUGCGUAGGCGGAAUGCCAAGUCAGCGGUAAAAUCGCGGGACUCAACCCAGCUCCGCCGUUGAACCUGGCGUGCUUGAGUGGGCGAGAAGUAUGCGGAAUGCGUGGUGUAGCGGUGAAAUGCAUAGAUAUCACGCAGAACUCCGAUUGCGAAGGCAGCAUACCGGCGCCCAACUGACGCUGAAGCACGAAAGCGUGGGUAUCGAACAGGAUUAGAUACCCCUGUAGUC